AAAKKGUUAUUGCCUCAGUACGGCGAGUGAAGCGGCAAAAGCUCAAAUUUGAAAUCUAGCACUUUCAGUGUUCGAGUUGUAAUUUGAAGAAGGUAACUUUGGUUUUGGCUCUUGUCUAUGUUCCUUGGAACAGGACGUCACAGAGGGUGAGAAUCCCGUGCGAUGAGAUGCCCAAUUCCAUGUAAAGUGCUUUCGAAGAGUCGAGUUGUUUGGGAAUGCAGCUCUAAGUGGGUGGUAAAUUCCAUCUAAAGCUAAAUAUUGGCGAGAGACCGAUAGCGAACAAGUACAGUGAUGGAAAGAUGAAAAGAACUUUGAAAAGAGAGUGAAAAAGUACGUGAAAUUGUUGAAAGGGAAGGGCUUGAGAUCAGACUUGGUAUUUUGCGUUCCCUUCCUUUUUGGUUGGGUUCCUCGCAGUUUACUGGGCCAGCAUCGGUUUGGAUGGUAGGAUAAUGACAUUGGAAUGUAGCUUUACUUCGGUGAAGUGUUAUAGACUUUGUUGAUACUGCCUAUCUAGACCGAGGACUGCGUCUUUGACUAGGAUGCUGGCGUAA
rnacentral:rRNA from 1 species